UAGACGGGGGUAAAAAAAUGGCACCAAAAAAUUUCUCCCUGAUCUCCUCCACGAUCAAACCCGCAUUCCCCAAAUCCAAAUCGUUUCCCUCUGAAACCCCAACCCUAGCGGCCUAGCCCAAUUUCCAGGCCCAAACCCUCUCUUUUCCCGCCAAAAUCCCCUCCCAUUUCCCCUUCAGCAUUCUCUUCUUCAUCCCCCAAUUGUUGUUCAAAUAUUUUGCUGAUUGGGUCUGAACAACCAAAGGGCUUAAUACCGCCAGCAGCAAUGUUGAGGGUGGAGAAAUUAACCCCGUUUAUGUUGUUUGGCUGUCAUUCCCAUUUCAAUUGCUUGAUGUACGCUGCUAUGGAUUUACUUCAUGCACAUUGUAUUAAUAUAUAUCCUAUAUAAGGCGGCGAGGUUCUAAUUUAUACAUCUUGGGUAGAGCGUAUAUGGUUAUUGAAAUGUUCCAAUGAGCUUUGUAUCUGCAUCCUACCAAGAAAAUAUGGAUAAUAAUAAUAAUAAUGAUAUGCAGUGUUUAUA